rnacentral:rRNA from 1 species
AACGAACGCUGGCGGCAGGCCUAACACAUGCAAGUCGAGCGCCCUCUUCGGAGGGAGCGGCAGACGGGUGAGUAACGCGUGGGAACCUACCUUUUGGUACGGAAUAACUCAGGGAAACUUGUGCUAAUACCGUAUGUGCCCUUCGGGGGAAAGAUUUAUCGCCAAAAGAUGGGCCCGCGUUGGAUUAGCUAGUUGGUGGGGUAAUGGCCUACCAAGGCGACGAUCUAUAGCUGGUCUGAGAGGACGAUCAGCCACACUGGGACUGAGACACGGCCCAGACUCCUACGGGAGGCAGCAGUGGGGAAUCUUGCACAAUGGGCGAAAGCCUGAUGCAGCCAUGCCGCGUGAGUGAAGAAGGCCCUAGGGUUGUAAAGCUCUUUCAGCAGGGAAGAUAAUGACUGUACCUGCAGAAGAAGCCCCGGCUAACUCCGUGCCAGCAGCCGCGGUAAUACGGAGGGGGCUAGCGUUGUUCGGAAUUACUGGGCGUAAAGCGCGCGUAGGCGGAUUAGUCAGUUGGGGGUGAAAGCCCGGAGCUCAACUCCGGAAUUGCCUUCAAUACUGCUAGUCUUGAGUCCGAGAGAGGGUGGUGGAAUUCCCAGUGUAGAGGUGAAAUUCGUAGAUAUUGGGAAGAACACCAGUGGCGAAGGCGGCCACCUGGCU